rnacentral:lncRNA from 7 species
AACUUUCUUGUGUCAAUGUCCCAGGGCAACCCCACGGACAGAACAGCUCUCACCUCAAUGGUUUAUGCCUCCAAUGAAUCUGGCCCAGUCUGAGAUAACCAUAGCCAUACCUGUGCCUAGCUUCUUCUUUCAUGCGGUUCAGACUGUUCCUGCAGUCAUCACACUUUCCCCAGACACGCUUCACAAGACUAAGAGUGGCGACCAGCUUGUCUUGCUUUAGGACACUUGUGGGAAAUGUAGUAAAAGCCUGUGUGUGGUUUCUCUUUUCCCAGAAAGUAAAUGGAGUAUGUUAGCCUCUCAUCUGUCCCUAUGGAAGGAACUUCUAGAGUUGAUUUCAUUCUCAAAGAUGCUUUUCCAUGAAAGUCUGUAGGGAAUGAAACUGGGUAGCAGGAAAACGGGCUCACAGUAGUUUGGUAAAUGACAGACACAGAAAAGCUAAACAGAGCCCAUAAGAUUCUGAUCUGACAGUUGAUAUAUAUAGCUGAGAUUGCCAAGGCUGAACUCAAACCAUUUUCCUCACCUGGAGGAUCCCAUUCAGUUCACCACAGAGGUUGAGACUACUGGGCUACAUCCGCAGAUGAAACAAGCAGUAUUUGUCUCCUCAGCUAAGUACACCUCCACUCCAGUACCACAGCUGAAAGUGAAUAAAAGCCAAUGUCCAGUUUCCUCCUUGUGUGUGAUGGGACUCCUGAACAGUGAUUCAAAAUCUUCCACAGUACUGAUUUCAGCAAGAAGACUCCUUUACUACAACUCCACAUUUUACUUUUAAUUUGAAGCCAGUUCAGUUUCCUCCUUUCCGUCACUCAAGUGACAGCCAGCUCUUCACUGAGGGAUAUUCUCAGGAACUGUUAACUGGUCUCAGUUCCACUGAAGUACAUCUGAUGCCAGUCAGAUGCACCACUGGAUUAACUUUUCCUAACCCUGACUUCAGUGAGUCCAGGCUUUGCCUUCUUAAGUAUUUCACUUAAACACAAAUGAAAACAUUUCAUUUUGAUUUUAAAAUGUUUUCCAUGAACACUGGAAUAAGUGAAGCACAGUUGAGCCUGGAUUUACAUCUUGUGGUUGCUUGACUACACUCUCCCACUGAGCUCUGACAGAGACUUUUCCCAUGGUUCCUGACUCCCCUCUCCUCAAGAAGGGGAUAAGGUGCUACAUCUGUUGCCGUUGCAGUAUCAGCAUCCACUGGCAAUGCCUGGAUAUGGGGACAGCAAUAAGCAGGCAGUCCCGAAUGCAGAGAAUGAUGAGCUGAUGAUACUCUGACUGAAUUGGACCCCACCUCUGAGCACAUUCCCAUUACUGGGUAAAAGCCACAGCAUCUCAGUGACAGCUCCUUCUCCGCAGAUGCCCCCUCUCAAUCCACUCCUUUCAUUUCAGAUGUUCCCAGCUCCUAAUGGGGUCAGGCCUCUGGAUGGCCUGGGCUAGGCAGCGUGCUGAGCUGGUCUCACUGGAGCUACAGAGGCCUGCAGUGCCCAUCCUCGGCCCAAGCCUUCCCCAAAGGCAGACUGAGCUGUUGCCAUGCUGACCCAGCCCUGGCUGGGAUCACUGGGCUGAGCAGCCUCCUCAUGGCCCCUCUGGCCCUGCCCUGAGGCAAAGGGCAGCAUGCUGCCUUGCAGCUCCAAUUUCCUUCUAUUUGUGAAAAGAAAGCUCCACAGAGAGCACACGUAAGGCCCUGCUGCAUAAUUCAAAGUGAGAAUGUUUUAUGUUUCGAAAUAAAUUUUAGAAGUAUC